ensembl:snRNA U6 U6 spliceosomal RNA
GUGCUUGCUUCAGCAGCACAUAUCCUAAAAUUACAACGAUACAGAGAAGAUUAGCAUGGCCCCUGCACAAGGAUGACAUGCAAAUUCAUGAAGCAUUCCAUAUUAAA